GAUGAACGCUAGCGGCAGGCUUAAUACAUGCAAGUCGAGGGGCAGCAGGACUGUAGCAAUACAGUUGCUGGCGACCGGCAAACGGGUGCGGAACACGUACGCAACCUACCCAUAACUGAGGAAUAGCCCGGGGAAACCCGGACGUUAAUACUUCGUAACAUAAUGAGACGGCAUCGUUUAUUAUUAUAGCUCCGGCGGUUAUGGAUGGGCGUGCGCCUGAUUAGGUAGUUGGCGGAGUAAUAGCCCACCAAGCCUACGAUCAGUAACUGGUGUGAGAGCACGACCAGUCACACGGGCACUGAGACACGGGCCC
rnacentral:rRNA from 1 species